GGGGCCGUAGUCUAGCCUGGUUAGGACACGUGGGUUUAACCACGCCUAAGGCACGGCUCGGGCCCGUGUGAUCCCGGGUUCAAAUCCCGGCGGCCCCA
rnacentral:tRNA from 1 species